AGCGAACGCUGGCGGCGUGCCUAACACAUGCAAGUCGAACGUGAAAAGGGAAACCUGCGUACAGUGGCGUACGGGUGAGUAACGCGUAGGUAAUCUACCCCAGAAUCUGGAAUAACCUGCCGAAAGGCGGGCUAAUACUGGAUAGAGCGAGGGAACUCGUAAGAGAGUUUUUCGGGAAAGGGAGCCCGCAAGGGCCUUCGUUCUGGGAUGAGCCUGCGUCUCAUUAGCUAGUUGGUAAGGUAACGGCUUACCAAGGCGAUGAUGAGUAGCUGGUCUGGGAGGAUGGUCAGCCAAACUGGAACUGAAACACGGUCCAGAAUCCUACGGGAGGCAGCAGUGGGGAAGCUUGCGCAAUGGACGAAAGUCUGACGCAGCCACGCCGCGUGAGUGAAGAAGGCCUUCGGGUUGUAAAGCUCUGUCGGAUGGGACGAACAUCUUCAUAGUGAAUAGCUAUGAGGACUGACGGUACCAUCAAAGGAAGCACCGGCUAACUCCGUG
rnacentral:rRNA from 1 species